UGCCAAUGGUAGGAAUGGAUGAUGAUGAU
rnacentral:piRNA from 2 species